AAAAGGGUUGCGCUUGGUCGAAGGAGCUACACAAUUUUGAAAACUGGCCCAAAUUGACGAAAGCGAUGCUGCUAUUUCAAACUGAGGAAAAGAUUACUUUUGCAGACCAAAUCGAUUUUAAUUGGUUUGAUUCAACUUCAGUGCAUAACGGAUUAGGGCAAUAGAUCGAUCGAAUUGAACUUCCAUUCGGCCAAAACCACGAUCCAGACAUUUCUGAAAUGAUCAAGCCAACUUUAACAGGGAACCUGGAAACAGAAUCGCGUGGAUUUCUUCGGAGAAAGUGGAGCAUUUCGCAGCAUGUUUUUGUUUGUUGAACUCAAGAACAACAAGAUCACCAGAUGAACUCUCGGUUAUCCGACGUUGCACGACUGCGCCGUUUUCCUUCAGAACAAUCUUCAGAACCGGCUGCUGAAGUAACCUCUGGGACCCCUCCAUCCGACCAACAAUUUCCAAAGAAUGACGGAGAUGGAGCUGAUCGUGGUGUACAGCUUUGGUCAACUCUACCACAGCGGAUACCUCCCUGAACUGUGUUUUUCUUCUGUAUUAGUUUAU